GACGUAGGAGACGAGCGUUGUCCGGAGUUACUGGGCGUAAAGGGUGCGCAGGCGGCGCGCUAAGGGGGUGGUGAAAGCUCCUGGCUCAACUGGGAGAGGGCCAUCCCGACUGGCGGGCUUGAGGCUCGGAGAGGGACGUGGAAUUCCGGGUGGAGCGGUGAAAUGCGUAGAGAUCCGGAAGAACACCGACGGCGCAGGCAGCGUCCUGGCCGAGACCUGACGCUCAGGCACGAAAGCGCGGGGAGCAAACAGG
rnacentral:rRNA from 1 species